AAUGGGCGGAAGCCUGAUGCAGCAACGCCGCGUGAGGGAUGACGGCCUUCGGGUUGUAAACCUCUUUUAGCAGGGAAGAAGCGAAAGUGACGGUACCUGCAGAAAAAGCGCCGGCUAACUACGUGCCAGCAGCCGCGGUAAUACGUAGGGCGCAAGCGUUAUCCGGAAUUAUUGGGCGUAAAGAGCUCGUAGGCGGUUUGUCGCGUCUGCUGUGAAAUCCCGAGGCUCAACCUCGGGUCUGCAGUGGGUACGGGCAGACUAGAGUGCGGUAGGGGAGAUUGGAAUUCCUGGUGUAGCGGUGGAAUGCGCAGAUAUCAGGAGGAACACCGAUGGCGAAGGCAGAUCUCUGGGCCGUAACUGACGCUGAGGAGCGAAAGGGUGGGGAGCAAACAGGCUUAGAUACCCUGGUAGUCCACCCCGUAAACGUUGGGAACUAGUUGUGGGGACCAUUCCACGGUUUCCGUGACGCAGCUAACGCAUUAAGUUCCCCGCCUGGGGAGUACGGCCGCAAGGCUAAAACUCAAAGGAAUUGACGGGGACCCGCACAAGCGGCGGAGCAUGCGGAUUAAUUCGAUGCAACGCGAAGAACCUUACCAAGGCUUGACAUAUACGAGAACGGGCCAGAAAUGGUCAACUCUUUGGACACUCGUAAACAGGUGGUGCAUGGUUGUCGUCAGCUCGUGUCGUGAGAUGUUGGGUUAAGUCCCGCAACGAGCGCAACCCUCGUUCUAUGUUGCCAGCACGUAAUGGUGGGAACUCAUGGGAUACUGCCGGGGUCAACUCGGAGGAAGGUGGGGAUGACGUCAAAUCAUCAUGCCCCUUAUGUCUUGGGCUUCACGCAUGCUACAAUGGCCGGUACAAAGGGCUGCAAUACCGUGAGGUGGAGCGAAUCCCAAAAAGCCGGUCCCAGUUCGGAUUGAGGUCUGCAACUCGACCUCAUGAAGUCGGAGUCGCUAGUAAUCGCAGAUCAGCAACGCUGCGGUGAAUACGUUCCCGGGUCUUGUACACACCGCCCGUCAAGUCAUGAAAGUCGGUAACACCUGAAGCCGGUGGCCCAACCC
rnacentral:rRNA from 1 species